rnacentral:rRNA from 1 species
UACGUAGGGUGCAAGCGUUAAUCGGAAUUACUGGGCGUAAAGCGUGCGCAGGCGGUUAUGUAAGACAGUUGUGAAAUCCCCCGGGCUCAACCUGGGAACUGCAUCUGUGACUGCAUAGCUAGAGUACGGUAGAGGGGGGAUGGAAUUCCGCGUGUAGCAGUGAAAUGCGUAGAUAUGCGGAGGAACACCGAUGGCGAAGGCAGCUCCCUGGACCUGU